CUUUGACAAUUUUUCUGGAACAUCAAACCUCCCAAUCACAGAGCCACUACCAUGGGACAUGAGAAAGGUCUGCAGGUAGAGAUGAGCUUCACAGUCACUUAGCAGCCGUGUAAAGCUGAUAUAAGGUACAGACCUAUACAAGCCCAGGCUCCCUGUAGCUCUGUGAGCUUAGCAGGAGGAAAUUCAAGGACCUCCACAUAUGGACAAGCCACUGUCAUAAGCCUCUGAUAAAGGAAAGAGGAGCUGGACGUAGGAGCUGGACUUCAGACCGUGAAGUUUCUUCUUCUGUUACAGAAUUGUAGUGGAAGCAACAGCUGUUAACAAUUCACUGAACUAAAAUGAAGGAAAAAGUAUUUACUUUGA